rnacentral:rRNA from 1 species
CGGGACACGUGGUAUCCUGUCUGAAUAUGGGGGGACCAUCCUCCAAGGCUAAAUACUCCUGACUGACCGAUAGUGAACCAGUACCGUGAGGGAAAGGCGAAAAGAACCCCGGCGAGGGGAGUGAAAAAGAACCUGAAACCGUGUACGUACAAGCAGUGGGAGCACGCUUCGGCGUGUGACUGCGUACCUUUUGUAUAAUGGGUCAGCGACUUAUAUUCUGUAGCAAGGUUAACCGAAUAGGGGAGCCGAAGGGAAACCGAGUCUUAACUGGGCGUUAAGUUGCAGGGUAUAGACCCGAAACCCGGUGAUCUAGCCAUGGGCAGGUUGAAGGUUGGGUAACACUAACUGGAGGACCGAACCGACUAAUGUUGAAAAAUUAGCGGAUGACUUGUGGCUGGGGGUGAAAGGCCAAUCAAACCGGGAGAUAGCUGGUUCUCCCCGAAAGCUAUUUAGGUAGCGCCUCGUGAAUUCAUCUCCGGGGGUAGAGCACUGUUUCGGCAAGGGGGUCAUCCCGACUUACCAACCCGAUGCAAACUGCGAAUACCGGAGAAUGUUAUCACGGGAGACACACGGCGGGUGCUAACGUCCGUCGUGAAGAGGGAAACAACCCAGACCGCCAGCUAAGGUCCCAAAGUCAUGGUUAAGUGGGAAACGAUGUGGGAAGGCCCAGACAGCCAGGAUGUUGGCUUAGAAGCAGCCAUCAUUUAAAGAAAGCGUAAUAGCUCACUGGUCGAGUCGGCCUGCGCGGAAGAUGUAACGGGGCUAAACCAUGCAC